GGCUGGGUAGCGCAAUUGGUAGCGCGUUACUUUCCGGUGCAAGAUAUCUUCAACUCUAGAAGAAUCUUUCAAAGUUGGUAAAGGUUCUGGGUUCGAGUCCCAGCUUGGUCG